UACCAGCACCCCGAGUGGUCGGGACGAUUAUUGGGCCUAAAGCAUCCGUAGCCGGUUUUACAAGUUCCCCGUUAAAUCCAGCUGCUUAACAGAUGGGCUGCGGAGGAUACUAUAAGACUAGGAGGCAGGAGAGGCAAGCGGUACUCAGUGGGUAGGGGUAAAAUCCGUUGAUCCAUUGAAGACCACCAGUGGCGAAGGCGGCUUGCCAGAAUGCGCUCGACGGUGAGGGAUGAAAGCUGGGGGAGCAAACCGG
rnacentral:rRNA from 1 species